AGUAUUGGAAUGGAGAGAGUAGGAUCAACCUCCCAGCAUAAAAAGACUCAAACGGUUCGCUCCCGUCCUUCUCUGAAACGGUGCCUCUUUCUUAAUCCGUAAGAGAACUGAUAAGAGUGGUGUCUCGACAGUGGCGGAUCUAGGAAUUUAUCGAAGCCCGGACAAACCGAAAGGUCUAGAAACAAAGGAAAAAUUACAAGGAAGUCCUCUGGAUCCCGACGACGAUGACGAGCCGGAGCUGACGAUGGCGCGCCGCUGCUGAAGCUCCCCAAACAUUGGAUCGCCGGAGCCCACCACACCGCAGACGGGAAGUCACCGAGCACCGCCUCCGAAGAGACUACUGCCGGGAACGCCGGCGCCGCCGCAAAGAACCUCUGUAUCAUCCUCUUAUUGAACUACAUCCAGAUCCACCGCAUACCUGGAUCUGGUCGUGGUGCAGGGAAAGUCGCACGCAGGUCGGUGAAGCCCCAGAGAACUCCAUCGCCGGAGGGGAUCUGCGCGGACAACGGACGAACCAACAGCACCUCCGCCUCCGAAGCGCCGCCGGCCGGACACCUGCCAAGCCCUACCAUGAAUACACGCCGUGAGACGGGUUCCCCCACCCUCCCGCCGCCGGAGCAGCCGACGGAGGGGAGGGAACCCACGCCUCACCGGCGGAAGAGGUGGACCGGCGGUGGACUCUCAAAAUCGCCUCUCAGAUCUAUAUCGGGGAGAGGAAAGGGAGGGCGACGCUCUUAUUAAUAUAAGGGCUCCUUUGAUUCAAAGGAUUUGCAUAGGAAUUGUGUAGGAUUUGGUUCCUAUGGGAAAAUUUCCUAUACAUGUUGUUUGAUUCAUAGGAACAUAGCCUAUAGGAAAAAUUCCUAUAGGAAUCUUGUAGUGUAAUUUCUAUAGGAAAAAAACAUUAGCUCAUACCUCAUGAAAAAAUUCCUUUGCUACAAUCAAACAAACUUCAUCUUCCUAUA